CGGGGGGCGGCCAACCUGCUGACGACGGGCAAAGCGGCCAUGGUGGGGAGGCGGAGGGCAGCCAUGGUGGGGAGGCCGGCUGUGCGGCGGUCUCAGCCUUGCGUGGUAAAGGCGCAGCACCGGAGCAAGGCCAAGUAUCACCGAGGGAUGCGGCUACAUCGGCUUGUCUAGAUGGGAUGGAUCGAAAUUCAACUUAUGUGCUGAAAAUCAAUUUGCUUGGCAACCCAAAAAAGGCUAGAAAGGAUAUCAAAUGCUUCUGUUUUGAUAAGGUUAUUGAUUCCGACUUAACAAAUUAUAAGGACUUGGUUGAAUCAAUCGUAGAGCAGUACUCGCCUCGUUAUUUGGAAGUUGCACAUGUUCAGUACUAUGAUGUUCUUAAAAUCUACCCUGAAGUAACAUCUGACCAAGAAUUGGUGUCGAUGUUUGAGAAACACUCUAAGACAAAGGUUGUGCACAUGUUUGUUGCAUAUUGUGAUCCAUCGGAACCAUAUGAGCCUAUAACGGAGUGGCAUAGUGAUGCGCAUGGCCAACCUAACAACACAGAACAAGAUGGUGAUGAUUAUCUUCGCAACCCAGUACCUGAGAAUGAGCAUGUUGGUGUUGAUGAGGAAAAUAUUUAUUUAGAGGAUGAACCUGUACCUUUUAUCAUGGUUCCUUGUUCCAAUAAAGAAAAGGACAAAGACUAUGUUCCUGAUCAUGAGAGCGAGGCUGAGAGCGAGGUUGAGAGUGAGGAUGAGAGCGAGGAUGAGAGCAUGUCAGAGGUUGAAGUAGAGGAAGAUGAGGAAUAUCACAAGGCAGAUCAUGCACCACACAUUGAAUAUAAUAAAUUAGAUCCUCCAAUGAACGAAGGAAGAAAAUAUCCCAAUAUGGCAGAGUUUAAAUUGGCGCUUUCUCAGCAUGCAAUCAAACAUGAAUUUGACUUUUGACACCGAAAAGAGUGCACCACAUAGGUUCAGAGCUUAUUGUUCAAGAAGGGAUGAAGAUAAGUGUCCAUGGAGGAUAUAUCCUUCUACAAUGGAAGAUGAGUGCACAGUAAUGGUGAGAAAGAACCCUUGUGGUCAUGAUUGCUCUAGUACAAAAAGAAAAAAGAAGUUGAAGAAUGCAAACAAGCGGUGGAUAUGUGAGCACGUGAAGGACUGGCUAAUUGAGGAUGCAACUCUAGGAACAAAGGCAUUGCGAAAGAAGCUUAAAGAGCAUCAUGGAAUCGACAUCAACUCUAAAAGAGUCUAUAUGGGUAAGCUGCUAGCCUUGAAGGAACCGAAGGAGGAAAGUAGCAAGGAAGUUGGUUGGGUUGAUUCUUCCCCACAUAAUUUAGAAGUUGAAUGCAAAGACUAGAGAAUUAAACUUGGAGGUGGUAGAAAGCUCAGAAGAAGUCGCUGAAGUGACAACAUUGGGAGGCAGCGGCUUUAGGUUUGUGGUCAACUUGCUUGACAGGACAUGUUCUUGUAGACAAUGGCAAGUUUCUGGCCUUCCUUGCAAGCAUGGUCUAGCAUUUAUCACAUCUCUUAUCAAUGCACACAUACAAAAUUAUGUGGACUUGUAUUACUCCAUUGACAAAUUUAGGGCAGCCUAUGACCAACUAAUUCCUGCCAUGGUUGACAAGAACCAAUGGCCUAAAUCUGACCAUGGAUUCUUCAUGUUUCCACCACUACUAAAAUCCACGACGGGUAGGCAUAAAACUGAGAGGUAUAAAGGCUGCAGUGAGAAGAAAAGAAAAAGCGGCCAACACUUAUGCCCUAUUUGUAAGUAUUAUGGGCAUCAUUGGCAUAAAUGCAAGAAGGGUAACCCAGAUGACAUUGCUGCUAUUUUAGCUGUGAGAGGACCACCAAAGAAGAGCGCAAAGACCACCAAAGCAUCAAUUGUGCCUUGCGAGGAUGAUGCUCCAGCAGCCUCUAUGUGCUUUCCGCCAAGCCAAAGCUUGCAACCUACAACUACGAAAAAGAGAAAACAUGAUAACUCAAUUACUGGAGCAUCAAAAAGCCAAAUGUUGGAGAAAACAAUUAAGGAAAAAGGGAAAGGGAGUAAAUCUGGAUCCAGAGUAGCAAAAAGGUAACCUAUGGUUGUUUCCGAAUUUUAUGUUAUGUUAGGCAUUGUUCUAUUGUUAACCUGGGCUACUAUAUGUGAUGUAUGAUGUGCUGCCAUGAAUGUGUAUGUGUUGAUCAAGAACUCAACCCAUUUGUGUGGCCAACAAGAAAGCAUUUGUUGCUUUGAAAUUACAUGCCAAAAGAAAAGGCAAAGAGGUUGCUGAUAAGUUGCCACACCUUCCUAUGGUGCCACAUAAUAGCCCUGCAAUGGGCACACGUAGCAAAAAAAUGAAUCCUGCCAGCCCUGCAAUGAGCUCACGAAGCAAAAGGAGGCUUAGCUUGUGAUUCUCAUUGGAUCCCUUUCCAUAUCAUGGUUCAUUUGGGAAACUUUUGAGCUGUUUAUGUAAUAUAUAUGUGAACCUGGGCUUUUGUACGUGCUAUAUGUGACCUUCAUGUGUUGUAUUUGACAUGAUGUGAACCUGCACUAUUAUGUGUGAACUCUAUGUGAACCUGAAUGUGUGUAGAGGACAAAAUAUGUGGACUGUUUCCGUAUAUGUGAACCUGGACCAAGUUUCUAUGAACUUUUAGUUUGCA